rnacentral:misc_RNA from 1 species
GGGGGGGCGGCCGCCUCCUCCCCCUCCUCCUCUUCGUCCUUCCGCCUCCGCCGGCGUACGAGAACGCAACAUUGUCCAGGUGUGUAUUCGCAACGGCGGAGCACGGACAGACCGUAGGAUUGAACCCGCAGACCGACGAUUGCUUGCUUCGCAGGGGUGGAAGGCUCACUUUUUCGUAUCGUUACCGAGCCCCCUUUUACAGACACAGAGCAGAGAACCGUCACCCGACGAAAUUUGCGGUUCCGGAUACACCGACCGCAAAAUCGACCCGUCCCCGGAGUCGCUGAAUUUUAAAACUCGAUUAUGAAGAAAAUUGAAAAUUAUCACCCACCGCCCCGAUCGCGGCAUCUCUCCGAG